GAAAUCCGUAACUAAGUAAACAAAUAAUGUAAUGUGAAAAUGAUUGGCUGAAUAUAUGUUCUACGUGACGCACGUCACCAAAUUUAGACUAUAACUUUUUUUCACUUUCGGUUUCUAUUUCCUUCAUAUUUUCGAAGAUGGUGUGAUAUUGGUUAUUACUAAAGGAAUUUAAAAAUGAUAUUACUGUUAUACUUUUUAAGCAAAUGAAUCUUUGUUAAAUGUUUUUAAUAGGCAUGUAGACGUGUGCAUUAUUUGACUGUAUGAUCAAGAUUAACAGUAUACAUGUAGGAACCAGUAACAGAUUCCGGUGGAGAUUCAAGACUUGCAGGGGCGUCAGAAGGAAUUUGACAUCGGGGCGGCAGAGAGGCAUACAUCAGUCAACAAUUUGGUGAGGACUGACAACACUCUUCAGCAGGUGCCAAACCACAAAAACGAACUUGGCUGUAGCAAAUGGUGACAUUCUGUAGCAAAUGGUGUCAUUCUGUCAAUGUGCAGGUACAUGGCACAUAAGUUGUUGUAUACUCUGGUUGUGAACACAGGUGCAUCUAAAGUGAGGAUAUAUACAGCUGGACAAAGUUCAAGCAAGGUGUUGAAUGUGUGCGUUUUGGAACCUUCUAAGAUUCAUAAAGUUAUUAUGGUUUGUGUAAUGCUGCAUAACUGUGCUAGAAAGCUCCAUCUGAUUCAGAGAAAUUCAAUGACUGAUCCAGGUUUGGUUUUGUUACAAGAUGAUAACAUUGAUAUGAAAGAGAUUUCAAACCAGUGGUUCAUGAUGUUGAUAGCAGAGCUGUUAUUUACUAGUAAUACAUUUACUCUUAAAGACAGCUAUAGAUGACAAAGUAAUUUACAUGCUCUGUUAACACAAAAUGAUAUUCAUAUUUUACAUUUUUCAUACAUCUUCAUUUUGAAUUUAAAUCAAUAUGCAACAGGAAAAUAAUGUUACAGUUAGAUGAUUAUAAUUGAGAACUUCAAUGCAAAACAAUUCAUAAAAUAAAGACAAAUUAACAAAAUAAUUAUGAAAAAUACGAAUAAAAAAUAAUUUUAAGUAAUAAUUUUUGUUCAUGUACAAUACUGAGUAACUUUAAUUACAUGUUCCCUCUGACAUGUCACCCACUUUAAUUAACAAUUUAAGAUGUGUUUAUCUUAAGUUAUCUACACUUUGUUUAUUUACUUCUACACUACACUUGCUUCACUCUUCACAAUUUGUAAGGUGAAAUAAAUUAUAAAUAUUACUUUGAA